AUAUGUACGUCAUAGAGGGUGACAACCCCGUCUGGCUAACCGUUCUCCAUGUAUUGCCUUAUCAAAGAGUCGAGUUGUUGGGAAUGCAGCUCAAAGUGGGUGGUAAACUCCAUCUAAAGCUAAAUACUGGUGAGAGACCGAUAGCGAACAAGUACUGUGAAGGAAAGGUGAACACAGAACUUUGAAAAGAGAGUGAAAUAGUAUGUGAAAUUGUUGAUACCGGAAGGAAAUGAGUGGAGAGUGGUUUACGGUUUCAGCCUUCUUUCGAGGGGGUGUACUACCAACGCCGAGUCAUUGUCAGCGAGACAGGGGUUAUAA
rnacentral:rRNA from 1 species